rnacentral:lncRNA from 1 species
CUGAGGGGAGGGGAAAUGGAAUGCAAUAAAGUAAGACUGAGAGUCAUGAGUGCGAUUGCCUUUGAUGGUCCUCAAGUAGUGCAAAGAGGCUGGGCGUGGUGGCUCACGCCUGUAACCCAGCACUUUGGGAGGCCUAGGCAGGCAGAUCACCUGCGGUCAGGAGUUCAAGACCAGCCUGGCCAACAUGAUGAAACACCAUCUCUAUGAAAAAUACAAAAAUUAGCUGGGUGUGGUGGCAGGCACCAGCUACUUGGGAGGCUGAGGCGGUAGAAUUGCUUGAACUCAGGGGCAGAGGUUGCAGUGAGCUGAGAUUGCACCGCUGCACUCCAGCCUGGGCAACAGAGUGAGACUCUGUUUCAAAAAAAAAGAAAAGAAAAGAAAAGAAAAGAAAAAAAGUGCAAAGAAAGAGUUUUGGUUGCAUUGGUUGCAUGAUAAUCAUUGUUGGUUGUUGAAGUAUGUUUAAGUAAAUUACUUUACCUCCUUAAUUCCCCCACCAAGUCUUAUCAUAGGAAGGUAAUUCUAUUGACAGAAGAGAGAAGGAAAGCUCAUCUGACUUUAAUACAUUACUCAAAGUGGAGCCAAGAUUUGAUAUAAGAUUUUCAGAUUUCAGAUUGAAUGCAUCUGCUUCAAUCACUAAAGGACAGAAAAAGACCUUAACACAACUAACAGGAAUAUAACCUGGAGAAGUAUGAGUGCUGAGAACACAGGUGUGGGGCACAGGAAAAGGAAUAUUUUGAGUCUCCUUCCUGGAAAGAAAGUACUUAGGGGAAGUUUCUAAUUUCCAGAGGCUUAGAAGAGCACAGAUAAGGGAAUGGUGACUCUGCCAGGAGAAACUGACUAUUGCCUGACCACUGCUCAAACUAGGGCGAGCUCAGCAAAGACGCAGGGCCCACAGAGAGUCCUUGGUGAGGCACCACUCUCAGGACUUGCAAAUGUAAAGGGUGAUUCAGGUGAUGGACAGGAGGAAAAAGAGAAAACAGAAACUGAAGAAGAUGGAGAGGUUCUUGAAGAGGAAUGCUUCAAGUUACAGUGGCUUGACUUCUUGAUUCUGUCUUAAUUCCAAACAAGGUUAUCAUGAGGAUAUCUCAGGGUUUUUGUUUAACUAUUAAACAAUUGAUUUUAUUUUGAUCUCACCAGUUUUCUUGUUGAUGUUAUUUUUAACUAAAAUAUGUUAUUAUAGUAAAAUGUACAUAACAUAAAAUUUAUCAUUUUAAACCAUAAAGAUACACCCAGUCUUAAUUGUGGAAUGAGUGUCAUUGCAAUGGCAGGAAGGUUGGGAGAAUCCCAAAGCUCCGUGAGCUCCUGCCAUACCUCCUCACACCUCCCAUUCAUGCUGUCACCAUCAAAACCGGCCUUGGAGACUCUUGGAACUAAUCUUAUCCUGCCGCUUAUACAGUGGUGUGCUGAAGGCCAGUUGUUAAACAUUUAUCAGCACACCACUGUUGUUAUCCCUGUUUAAGUCAAACUUUAUAUUCCUCUCCCCUCCAAUUCCCCACCAACCACCACCUCCUCUCCCUCCCCUUUCUUAUCUUCCCCCUCUCUCCCCUUUUCUUCUCCUCUUGCUUCUCUUCCUCCCAUCCUCUCCUCCUCCUCAUCAUCUCCAUCAUCAUCACCAUCACGAAAGCUAUGGUGUAUUCAACAUCUACCACGUGCCAGGCACUAUCCUAAAGUGCUUUACACAUGUUACUUAACUCUCACAUCACGUCUGUAAAGCAUGUAUUUUUUUUCCUUUUUUUCCUCUCUCUCUCUCUUUNNNNUUUUUUUUUUUUUUUUUUUUUUUUGAAAUAGGCUCUCGCUGUGUUGCCUGGGCUGGAGUGCAGUGGCUCGAUCAUGGCUCACUGCAGCCUCAAACUUCUGGGCACAAGCAAUCCUCCCACCUUAGCCUCUCAAAUAACUGGGACUACAGGCGUAUGCCACCACGGCUGACUAAUGUUUCAAAAUUUUUGUAGAGACACAGUCUCACUGUGUCACCCAGGCUGGUCUCGAACUCCUGACCGCAAGUGAUCGUUGGGAGGCCAAGGCCUCAUAAAGUGCUGAGAUUACAGGUGUAAGCCAUGGCGUUCAUCAUGCCACUGCACUCCAGCCUGGGUUACUGGGUAAUAUUUUUUUAAAAUAUUUUAGACUCUGUCUAAAAAAAAAAAAAAAAAAAAAAGAAAGAAAGAAAGAAAGCUUCCUCUUGUAUGGGGAAAGUCACUACUGUAUGUUAAGACUAGGCAUUGAUUUUCAAAUGAUUCACAUUUUCCAUGUAAGAAGAAAAAAGAGCUACGUGUUAUCCUCACAAAUUUGCUGUUAAGUCCAUAUAAUUUAACUACCAGUUGCUUGAUUUUUAGGGUUCUCCAGAGAAAUAGAACCAAUAGGAUAUUGAAACUGAGGACUUUUGCUCAUUUUGCUUUUGUGUAUAUAUGUGUGUAUAUGUGUAUGUAUAUAUACACAAAAGCAUA